AGAGAGUGCAAGCGUUAAUCGGAAUUACUGGGCGUAAAGCGCGCGUAGGUGGGAUGUUUAAGUCGAAUGUGAAAGCCCCAGGGCUUAACCUGGGAACUGCAUCCGAUACUGGGCAUCUAGAGUAUAGUAGAGGGAAGUGGAAUUUCAGGUGUAGCGGUGAAAUGCGUAGAUAUCUGAAGGAACACCAGUGGCGAAGGCGGCUUCCUGGACUAAUACUGACACUGAGGUGCGAAAGCGUGGGGAGCAAACAGGAUUAGAGACCCUGGUAGUCCACGCCGUCAACGAUGAGAACUAGCUGUUGGGGGGGUUGCCCUUUAGUAGCGAAGCUAACGCGUUAAGUUCUCCGCCUGGGGAGUACGGCCGCAAGGCUA
rnacentral:rRNA from 1 species